ensembl:lncRNA
GUUCAGGCUGGCCUUGAACUCACUGUGUAGCUCAGGCUGGCCUCAAACUCAUGGUGAUCCACUUGCCUCAGCCUCCCGAGUGCUGGGAUUAUAUGUAUGUGCCACCGUAUUUGGCUUUUAACUGCUAAUUUUUAAAUAAGGAUAAUUUCAACCCAUUUCUCUUGGCAAGUGUCAGUCAGAGAAUGUUUCCUAUGCAUAUCAAGUCUCCUGUGUCAGAGAGUCUUGGUUUUUAGCAGGCCUGUUUUAUCAACGUAGUUUACUUGGGAUGUCACUAGUCUUGGUCUCCCUCUUUCAAAACUUGUGCUGAAUUUCUCCUUUUCCUCAGGCUAUGAUUUCCACCAUUUUCCUUUCUAAUUGGCAUGUCAGUGUGAAGGUACUUGAGAAGCUGCUCUGGAGACUUUUAUUCUAAUCUGAUUAAUUUCAUCUCUUUGUUCUUUGGGAUUUAAGAGUAAUGCCAUGGAAAAGAUAGAUAGAAAAAGGCUGAGAGGAGUUAAUUCCAUCUGUGGUACUGUAGUCACAAUUGGUUUUGGAUAAGGAUGAAAUAAGUUCAUUUGAUCAUCAUUACCUAAGAGCCUAAACUGUAUGAAUGGGUUUGGAUCAUUUCAUUGUAGGCCCAAUGAAAGCCCGCCACAUUGGCAACUGUAACCUAUGUGAGAUGGUUGCACACAAAGCCGUAAGUUGAACACACCACACACAGUUUUUUCUCCAUCAUAGGACCUCUGUUUAGUUUCCCUUGGGGGCUAAAAGAUGCACAUCAACCUGUUUAACUAGUUUCUAAGUGUAGAAUACCUAGAUACCAGAAUCUGCUGGAAGAGGGAAGAGUAGCCAUCCCUGCAUUCUUGGUGGUUCUGUCUGAAGGAAGGUAAUUCCAUUUCGUUGCUGUGUGACGGGUAGGUAGCUUGUUAAAGGAUGUAUGUUCUUUACGGAGUGUAAGUCCUUCUAUCCAUUGUGUGUUUGUGCUCAGGGAGUCAUCACAUGUGCUUCUUUGGAGAGUAGGAAAUGAGUAUCAAAAGCCAGUCAUAAGUAUCUGCUUUCCAGUGACCCAAGUACUCUUGUUUCCUGGUGGCCUCUUUUUGGGAAUAGAAGGAGACAUUCAGGCAAGAACUGCUUUGGCUGUGUGUGCAUAUGGUGAUGGUCAGUGGCAGCCCUUUGCUCCAUGGAACUCCUCUAGCACUAUGUAAAUCCCUAAAUACUAUCUCAGUUAUUGUAGGUGAGAAGUUAGGCUGGAGUAUCUGACCCAAAGGUUAGAAAACUUUACUAAGCACUGCAUGGCCAGAUUUCGGAAUCGCUGCACUCUGGAGUGUGCAGUGUUCCCACUUGACCAGGAACACAGAGGCUCUCCUGUUUGAAAACUCCUUGUAUUGACACUAAGAAAACACAGUUAAUAGCCUAGAGCUCGAUAUAGUAUGGACAGCACGGCUCCUUUAAAAAUUUUCAUUCUUCACAAACUAAGUCCAAAGGCAAGACAAGAGGCUUUAAAGUUGUUUGUAAUCCUGGUCACUGAUUUGAACUCCUGAUCUGAUUUCUGUUAUAUGUACCGUACUUUCUUAUAGGCCCCAGGCACGUAGAUCGCAUUUCAUGUCAUUACUCUUCUUUAUUCUAAGACAGUGAUCCUGAACCUUUUAGAGCUUACAGUGAUACAAACAGCCCACUGUGGCACACGUACUGUAAGUUUGCCACCACUGCUCUAAGAUAUAUUGAAAACAUGUCCUAGAAAUUUAGAGAUAUGGGCUAUUUUAUGAAAUUUCACAGUUUUCUUAUCAUUGAAACAGAUUGUUUUGUUUUAUUUAAGUGUAAAAAAUAAAAUAUAUGAAAUUACUUUCAGGGACUGUAUUUUCUAAAGUUUUGAUAUAGGAUUAUAAACAGUUCUGAAGUUUUGGGUUGAAAUACAUUGUAUAUAGCAGCGAUGGUGAACCUUUUAGAACUUUCAAUGAUCCAAACAGCCUGCUACAGCAUGCGUGCCAUAGAUUUGCCACCACUGGUAUAAUACUGUAUACCAGUGGUAUAUAGUGGUACUGAAGAGCCCUGUCAAUUUAAGGGUCUCUCUUCUUGAACUUUCUUCAUCACUCAGGGUUGCAAUGCCUAGUCUGCAAUAUCCUUUGUUACAGAUUGUUAUUGUUGAUUUUAGGUUUGGACCAUGAAUCAUCUGGAAGAUACCUUAAUUCCUUCUCUUAUGUCCUAAACAGUACAUUUUACUUUAGAAGUCCAUGUUAAAAAUACCACUUGUCUCUUCCUGAGAUUUUUUUUUUUUUUGGUACCAGGGAUCGAACUCCGGUCCUUGCGCUUGCAAAGCAGGCAGCAGAACCACUGAGCUAAAUCCCCGGCCUCUUCCUGAGAUUUUGUCCCAUGAGUUAAUUAGCUUUCAUUGAACCAAGCUGAGUUAUUUCCAUUUACCCAUGUUGGAAAACAAGUAAAGUCUAUAGAAAGCAAGUAGUCCUGUGAUCCAUGACUCUGGUACAACCAUUUUCCCUUAAUAAUAAUGGGAAGUGUUUUGAAAUUCCCAGAAGAAAUGCUGGGAUGCUUUACAUUUAAAAAAAUCAUUUAUAAAUGCUUAGUAAUCAAAAUAGUGCAUCCUAAGAAAGACUUUGGGUAAGGAUAAUGGGAAUACAGGACGGUGCUUGAAGAUUUCCUAAACUACUUUAUGCCACUUAGCUUAUAUUUCUGAAGGAUCUGCUUUGUUGCUAUGUACUCAUCUAUCAGUUAAUUGAAAGUAAUGUUUUCUAAAAAAAAAUAAUAAUAAUAAUUUUUCUUAGUCAAUAUUUAAGCAGUUACCAACCGUGAAGACAGUCUUUCCCUUCUGUUCUACAUCAUACACUGAUGCUGACAUUAAAAAAGGGAUGUUGAAGGAGAACUGUCUCAGCCUUGUCUUUUUUCUUUAAAAUACAAAAAUAUCCUAAUUAAUCAUUUAUUGUAGUCAACUUGUUUUAUAUGUCACCCUCUCGAGAAAUGCUGUCAAUAUCAACAAUUUCUAUGUUAAGAACCCCAAACUGUUAACUUAAUCCUUAUGUCCUGCUGAGUGGCUUUUCAUUUAAAAUACCAGAUUUUAUCACCCUGUGGCACUCAGUGUGUUGCUGUGAUACACUGAUGAUCCCAGCUAUGUUCUUUAAAUAGCUUGGUUCUUGUGUUUUUAUAUUAUGUAACAAUUUUGUGAUGCUUUUGUGCAUUCUUUGUCUUCUCUUCAGAGUUUUGAAAUCUGUCAUAAAUAAACUUUUUCACUGUGCACCUGAAA